rnacentral:tRNA from 1 species
GGGUAGUUGUCCGAGUGGCUAAAGGAGACAGACUGUAAAUCUGUUAGCGUCAGCUUACGGUGGUUCGAAUCCAUCACUGCCCA